rnacentral:rRNA from 1 species
GAGUUGAUCGUGGCUCAGGACGAACGCUGGCGGCGCGCCUAACACAUGCAAGUCGAACGAGAGAGAGGGAGCUUGCUUCCUCAAUCGAGUGGCGAACGGGUGAGUAACGCGUGAGGAACCUGCCUCAAAGAGGGGGACAACAGUUGGAAACGACUGCUAAUACCGCAUAAGCCCACAGGUCGGCAUCGACCAGAGGGAAAGGACAAUCCGCUUUGAGAUGGCCUCGCGUCCGAUUAGCUAGUUGGUGAGGUAAUGGCCCACCAAGGCGACGAUCGGUAGCCGGACUGAGAGGUUGAACGGCCACAUUGGGACUGAGAUACGGCCCAGACUCCUACGGGAGGCAGCAGUGGGGAAUAUUGCACAAUGGGGGAAACCCUGAUGCAGCGACGCCGCGUGGAGGAAGAAGGUCUUCGGAUUGUAAACUCCUGUUGUUGAGGAAGAUAAUG